UACGGAGGGUGCAAGCGUUGUUCGGAAUUACUGGGCGUAAAGCGGGCGUAGGCGGUUUAUCAAGUCUGGUGUGAAAUCCCGGGGCUCAACCCCGGACGUGCACUGGAAACUGGUGAACUUGAGUACUGGAGAGGGUGGUGGAAUUCCCGGUGUAGAGGUGAAAUUCGUAGAUAUCGGGAGGAACAUCAGAGGCGAAGGCGGCCACCUGGACAGAUACUGACGCUGAGGUCCGAAAGCGUGGGGAGCAAAC
rnacentral:rRNA from 1 species